AUCGUAACUCCUACGGGAGGCAGCAGUGGGGAAUAUUGGACAAUGGGGGGAACCCUGAUCCAGCCAUGACGCGUGUGUGAAGAAGGCCUUUUGGUUGUAAAGCACUUUAAGCGAGGAGGAGGCUACUUGGAUUAAUACUCUAGGAUAGUGGACGUUACUCGCAGAAUAAGCACCGGCUAACUCUGUGCCAGCAGCCGCGGUAAUACAGAGGGUGCGAGCGUUAAUCGGAUUUACUGGGCGUAAAGCGUGCGUAGGUGGCUUUUUAAGUCAAAUGUGAAAUCCCCGAGCUUAACUUGGGAAUUGCAUUCGAUACUGGAAGGCUAGAGUAUGGGAGAGGAUGGUAGAAUUCCAGGUGUAGCGGUGAAAUGCGUAGAGAUCUGGAGGAAUACCGAUGGCGAAGGCAGCCAUCUGGCCUAAUACUGACACUGAGGUACGAAAGCAUGGGGAGCAAACAGGAUUAGAAACCCUGGUAGUCCUAGAGC
rnacentral:rRNA from 1 species